CCGUGCUCUCCACCUCACUUCCCCUCCUCAAUUGCAAGCGAGCCCCACCCAUAGCCCCUUCGCCUCACAGCCGCCGCUCCGCUCAAGUGCGCGCGCUCGCCGUCGCCACCACUGGCAGCCGAGGUGCCGGCCGCGCCGCCUCGCCUCCUUGGUCACUUAGCUCGCCCGCCUCUUUGCCUCCCCGCCCUCUCACGCAAUGGAAACAACUGCCCUCUCCCCCCACUUCCACCACUCAGUGGAUGACGCCAUUAAUGGCUAUGAAGCCACUGCCCGGUCCUUCCUCUUCCCCAGCGUCCUCCCUCUCCCUUCUCUCUAACUGAUGUCGAGCUCCAUGUGCCAGUAACUGUACGUCCAAAACCAUCCAAGCCUUUCUCUCUCUCUCUCUUAUCGUGGGACUCGCCGCCGUCGCCUCUGUUCGUCGUCGCCGGAGGCCGCUGCUCCCUCCCCGUCGCUAGCGAGGAGAGCCUAGGAGCCCGAUGAUGCGCCCCUGUCGUCCUUCCCCGCCCGUCGACCCCCUGCUCCCGCAACCGAUGGCCGACCGUGCCCCUGCUCCCAUCGCCGACCCCUUCUUCUCGUUGUUUUCUCUGCGCAAGAACCAUAAACAAGGUAGAAGAAGAAAAUUUUGUGAUGUACUUACUAACCGUUGCUAUUUGUCUAACACGCGUGGAUAUAAUUAUCCAUAAUUCCAAUACUUUUUUAUUUGUUUAGUUUAUGAAAAGUUAA
rnacentral:misc_RNA from 1 species